rnacentral:rRNA from 1 species
CCCUUAGAUGAUUUGGGCUGCACGCGCGCUACACUGGAAGUUACGGAUUGAGAUACUACCUUGUCCGAAAUGGUCCGGGUAAUCACCUAAAAGCUUGUCAUAAUUGGAAUGGAUUAUUGUAACUAGUAAUCCUGAACGAGGAAUUCCUAGUAAGUCCCAGUCAACAGCUGGUACUGAUUACGUCCCUGCCCUUUGUACACACCGCCCGUCGCUACUACUGAUUGGACGUUUAAGCAAGAUUUUUAAACACUGACAGUGUGUAGUUCACGCUAUACUACAGUGAGAAGAAGAAGAUCGAGCUUACUUGUCUAGAGGAAGUAAAAGUCGUAACA